rnacentral:rRNA from 1 species
AGCGAACGCUGGCGGCAUGCCUAACACAUGCAAGUCGCACGGGGGGGCUUCGGCCUCCCAGUGGCGGACGGGUGAGGAACGCGUAGGGACCUGUCGAGGGGUGGGGGAUAACCGCGGGAAACUGCGGCUAAUACCGCAUGACGCCGCGGCGUGACAGCCGGGGCCAAAGGCGAAAGCCGCCCGCCGAGGGGCCUGCGUCCGAUUAGCUGGUUGGCGGGGUAGCAGCCCACCAAGGCGUCGAUCGGUAGCUGGUCUGAGAGGGUGAUCAGCCACACCGGGACUGAGACACGGCCCGGACUCCUACGGGAGGCAGCAGUGGGGAAUAUUGGACAAUGGGCGCAAGCCUGAUCCAGCAAUGCCGCGUGGGUGAAGAAGGUCUUCGGAUUGUAAAGCCCUUUCGGCGGGGACGAUGGUGACGGUACCCGCAGAAGAAGCCCCGGCUAACUUCGUG